rnacentral:rRNA from 1 species
GACGAACGCUGGCGGCGUGCUUACACAUGCAAGUCACGGGGGCUCGCAAGGGCAACCGGCGAACGGGUGCGUAACACGUGAGGGACCUGCCUGGAAACGGGGGAUAGCCGGCCCAACGGCCGGGUAAUACCGCAUACGCUCUUUGGACGGCAUCGUCUGGAGAGGAAACCUCCGGGGUUUUCAGAGGGCCUCGCGGCCUAUCAGCUAGUUGGCGGGGUAACGGCCCACCAAGGCGACGACGGGUAGCUGGUCUGAGAGGAUGGCCAGCCACAUUGGGACUGAGAGACGGCCCAGACUCCUACGGGAGGCAGCAGUGGGGAAUCUUGCGCAAUGGCCGAAAGGCUGACGCAGCGACGCCGCGUGUGGGAGGAAGCUCUUCGGGGUGCAAACCACUGUUGCCCGGGACGAACGAGCGAUUUAGAUCGCUGUGACGGUACCGGGUGAGGAAGCACCGGCUAACUCUGUGCCAGCAGCCGCGGUAAUACAGAGGGUGCGAGCGUUGUCCGGAAUCACUGGGCGUAAAGGGCGCGUANGCGGCUUGGUAAGGUUGCGGUGAAAGC